rnacentral:rRNA from 1 species
CAGCCGCCGCGGUAAGACAGAAGAUGCAAGCGUUAUCCGGAAUGAUUGGGCGUAAAGCGUCUGUAGGUGGCUUUUCAAGUCCACCGUCAAAUCCCAGGGCUCAACCCUGGACAGGCGGUGGAAACUACCAAGCUAGAGUACGGUAGGGGCAGAGGGAAUUUCCGGUGGAGCAGUGAAAUGCGUUGAGAUCGGAAAGAACACCAACGGCGAAAGCACUCUGCUGGGCCGACACUGACACUGAGAGACGAAAGCUUGGGGAGCGAACGGGAUUAGAUACCCCAGUAGUCCCUGUCUCUUAUAC